rnacentral:rRNA from 1 species
CGCGUAGGCGGCGCAACAAGUCACUUGUGAAAUCUCCGGGCUUAACCCGGAGCGGCCAAGUGAUACUGUUGUGCUGGAGUGCGGAAGGGGCCACCGGAAUUCUCGGUGUAGCGGUGAAAUGCGUAGAUAUCGAGAGGAACACCUGCGGCGAAGGCGGGUGGCUGGGCCGACACUGACGCUGAGGCGCGAAAGCCAGGGGAGCGAACG